rnacentral:rRNA from 1 species
UACAGAGGGGGCAAGCGUUAUUCGGAAUUAUUGGGCGUAAAGGGCGCGUAGGCGGCUUUGCAAGUGACGGGUGAAAUCCCUCGGCUUAACCGGGGAACUGCGUCUGAUACUGGAUGGCUUGAGUUUGGGAGAGGGAUGCGGAAUUCCAGGUGUAGCGGUGAAAUGCGUAGAUAUCUGGAGGAACACCGGUGGCGAAGGCGGCAUCCUGGACCAACACUGACGCUGAGGAGCGAAAGCCAGGGGAGCAAACGGG